UAUCCGUCGGUUGCUGUCCCCGCGUGUCCGGAAUCACGGAAUCAGUUUGGCUGAAAAAGACCUCUGAGACGACUGAGUCCAACCUAUGACCGAACACCACAAUGUCAACUAAACUAUAGCACUAAAUGCCAGCUCCAGUCUUUCCUUUAAACACCUUAGGGAGGGUGGCUCCACCAAAUCCCUGGGCAGCUCAUUCCAAUGUCUAACCACUUUUUUUUGUGAAGAAAUUCCUUCUAAUGUCCAACCUAAACCUCUUGCUGCAGCUUAAGACGAUGUGCUCUUGCCCUGUCACGGGGUACCUGGGAGAAGAGGCUCCUUUCAGCUACCUGUAGACAGUGAUUAAUAUGUCCCCUGAGCCUUCUUUUGUCCGGACUAAACACCCCCAGCUCCCUCAGCUGCUCCCCAAAGAACUGAUGUUCCAGACCCAUCACCUCUCCGACUGCCCUUCUCCGGACCCGCUCCAGCACCCGUGUCCUUCCUGAACUGAGGAGGGCAGAGCAGGCUUUCCAGGCGCCACACAGGUGGCUUCCGACCCUGAGGAAAAAACAGCAACAGGGCCUGGCUGGCAAAGAGAUUGGCUCCAUGGGAAUCACUAUCCAGCAUAUGUGCAGGGCUGGAAAGGUGUUUCCAACAUCCUGAAAACAUCUGCCAGGUCUCAAACUCCUGUUUGAGGAGCCUGUCCUGUGUCUGUCCCAGGCAAUUAAGCAAAAAGCAUUCAAUGUGCCCCAGUAUCAAAAGAAAUCCCAGCCUUGGCUAAGGCUCUUGACUGUGCUUUGGGGGGCUGUACUCCAGGCCAGCGGUCCCACUGCUUCUCCUGUCCAGAAAUGAGGAGUUGCUACAAUAUACUGGCUGUGGGCCUGAGGUGGGGUAUUUAUCUUGGCACGGCUCUCUUUGGAUCUCAUGUGCACCAGGGCAGAGGCCCCACUGCUUCUCCUGUCCAGAAAUGAGGAGUUGCUUCAGUAUUCUGGCUGCAGGCCUGAGGUGGGGUAUUUAUCUUGGCACGGCUCCCUUUGGAUCUCGUGUGCACCCAUGGUCAAACACUCCGAGGAAUGUGUACUCUGCCCACUGAAGACCAUGGCACCUGCCCUUCCAGGCCAACAUGCACAGCAAAGAUGGUUUGGGGCCACAUACAGGCCUGGCCUGGUACCAGUGUGUGCGGUAGAGAAAGACUGGGUAUUACAAAACUGUGGUUCUUAGUAUCAAAAAUACCCAACAAGAGAGACCUUUAAAAUAGUUGCAAAGAAAGGGAAAUUAUGAGAGAAUAAAUGAAGGCAAAUUAGCCACAACAAAUGCUGCUACUUAGAGAGAAAAAGGGGAAUGGGCUUUCAGCAAAGGAAGAGCUCAAGGACAGCACAAGGAGACAGAUGACACUACAGAAACCAAAUGACAGGCAGACAGGAACAACAAAGGGAGGAGUCCUUGGUCUGACAUACACUGUACUUGUUGAAAAUAUUGUAUCAGUGCUAAGGUGAGGAUGGGUAACAAGUUAAAAAAAUCUUUUCUCCAGAGACUGGGACCCAAGAGGGGGUGAGUCCCUGCAGGAAGAGAAAGGUGCCUCCAGCUUUUUCAACAUAUACAAUGCUCUUUUCAGAAAGCUGCUCAAGGACCUUGCCUUCCUGCAGUCUGCAGAAUUCAUGCUCAUCAGCAAGGUUUUGGAAAAAAAUCAUAGCAAUAGAAAGGAGGUUGGUUGUCUCUCCAAAGAUUGCAUAAAGCAGUGCAGCAACAUCCUUACUUUUUUUUUUUUUUUUUCUUGAGAGCCUCCCUUCCUCUAGUGAGCAUGCACUGUGGAAAUGUCUGGUUUGACCUCAAAGAAACUUUUCUUUGUCAUACUUCAGCUGUUGCAGAGAAACAUGGUGAUUUUCCAUCCUUUCUGCUGUUUGUUUGAACACAGGAGUACCUGGUUUUGCAGAUACUAUGUGUAAAAAAAAAAAAAAAAAAAAAAACCAAAAACCCAAAAAAACCCCUGUGAGCAGGAAGGAAGAAAGGAGCAUAAAGACACAGCUUGGACUAAAACCUCAAAUCCUCCAAACUCCCCAUGUGCUCCUGCAGGAGAGAGACAGCAAGGGCUGCACUGGAGUGGCAAGAGUAUGAAAAGGAAUUUGGGCUGUUCCAGUGAAUGCCCUGAUGUGAUUGCAAAUCCAGAGAGAUGCUCAGCUCCUCUCAAGCAGGCUGAAUCAGCCCAGCUGCAUUGACAGCUUGCCUUUUUUAUAGCAUAGAGGUAUCUGACAGGCUGAACUUGAACCUGCCCUAGAUGCAUAACUUAUGGUGAAGUAAUAUAUAUUUUAACUUUGAUGCCCUACAAAGUUUGCAAACCUUAUUUGCUGGAGCAGUUGUCUUGGGAACUUGUAUGUAUCCAGACUUGGGGACUCAGAGGGCUUAUCUUUGUGCAAGAGGCUGAGCUUUGCCUGAAAGCCACUUGUAUGCUGAUGAAGGCUGGGGAGAAAAAGCCAGACUGACGAGUGCAUGUAGUUCUUGCUGAUAAAUAUGAUCCUAAGCUCCUUUCAGGGGUUCAUACCCUUCAGCUGAGCCUCUCUGAGUAUCCAGGCUCUCUGUUGGUCCAUCCCUCCAUGAAGCAUUUUGUCUCAUCUGAAGAUUAGUGUCAUUGAAAGAUGGGAUCUGUUGCUUUCUGGACCUGCCUGUUUUUGUGCAUUCACUAUAGAGAGGAUCUGAAAAUCAGCAGGAACAAGAUGCCUGACUUUAAAACAGUAUCCUGAGCAAGUGCCAAAGGCAAUGUCUGUGAUAAAGGCAAAAGCUUACAAUACUGGGGAAGGUCAGCUGAAGCUACUUCAGUAUCAGCCUUUGCAUUUCUUUAAAUUUUUUUCCAAGUGUAACCUGGCCUUUUUAUUUGGAAGUUUUAGUUUAAUCCCACGUGGGCUAGAGUUAUUCAAGGAUUUUUACCAAUUAACCAGAAUCUUGAAGUUUUCUUCUUGCAGAAACUAACUGCUAGCAAAAAUUACCCCUCUCUGGGGAGCAUGUACUUCUGAAGUUGCACAAUAAAUGCUACUAAGUGGGUCACUUGAGAUCCCUGUUUUGGAGCAUACAAAUGCCUCCAGUGUCUACAGGUACCUUGGCAUUGCCUCGUCUCCUGAAAACUUAGGAUCCUCCAGAGACAGCUCUCUCCCUGCCUGAUCUUACAAGAUCCAGCUAAUCUCCUCUCCACCUCACAGGGCUUUGCACCACAGCGAGGACUUCUAAACUUGGAUUGGACAAAGCAGAAUUUAGGAAAUGUGUCUGCAGACAAGAGGCACACCCAGGGCAGGAAUAACUCUAUCAGGCUCUGGAAAGCAGGCUAGCUAUUCAUAGGAAGGCUGCCUCUGUCUCUGGCUGGGGAGGAGGGAGUCAGGCCAUUGAAUGGUAUGGUAAGCAGUGCUCCAGUGCUGAUGGCUGGGAAUAGCUCAUGUCCCAAGCCCACGGAGCCGGCAAACAUUUUUUUCUGUCUCUUUCAGCUCUCCUCCUCCUAGUCUUUGCUCAUCUCAUAUUACUGAUCUACUCAGCUUCCCUUCAUCAGCAGCUACUGGGACCCUGCUGUGGCUGAAAACCAGAGUAAAGAACAUGCAACCUCCUCCCAAAAGUAAAACAGUGUGGUGUCCCUCAAGUUUCCCUGAAUGCUACUGAUUCCCGAGCAGAAGUUAAAGUGUUGGAAAGCAAGUCAAGAUGGUGCAGACACAGCAGGUGGUGAAAGAGAAAGUCUUUGGCAUGGUAAAUAGGAAACCAGCUUAUAGCGAUUUGAAUCCGGUGGCACCAGCAAAACUGUAAAAAACAGCAAUAGCUGGGGGCUGCAGGAAAAUCACCAAGUUGAAAUAAAUAUUAUGGUUCUGAAAGUUGGCAUGAAUAGGCUGGGAAUUGAAUUUGCAGACUUAUCUACUCCUAAUGAAGGAGAAAGAAAUCUAGAAGAGGUGAAACAGUGCAUAGCAGCUAAACACCUUGGGUUUUGAUUUUUUUCACUUCUAGAACUGUAGUGAUAACUUAGGUGUUUUUGCCCAAAAGCCAAAGGCCACAAUAGGCUAUUUUUUGCAGUACCACUCCAUCAAAACUCAUAGUGCCAUGCUGAAAAACUGCAGACACUACCAAAUACUCUGCUCUAAUUAUUUCCAUUCAUCUAAGGGUUACUUCAGAAUACAAAGUCUUCUGUGAUGUUUAGGCUCCCAGUGAGGCAACAACCCAGAAAAGACCAAACACUAUUUUCUGAGGCUGGUUGCUGUAACCUUAUCAUCUGAGACUCACAGAGCACUUUGGAUCUCCUCAAGAGCACGUCCCAGAGACGGAAGUUGCUGUCACAUCCUGGAGAUGGGCUGUAUAUCUAAGCUGGCUGACCCACAGAGCAAUGACUCACCUCAAACCCUGCCAGCUUUCUCAGCUCUCUUUGAUUGCUUAGUCUUGAAAUUACUCAAGUCCAGUCUUCUGACUUUGCCUCCUACAAGGUCUGGUUGGUUCCCCUUCCUCUGUAGGGUGGAUUCUCCUUGGCAGCCUUUACAAUGCCUAAUUAACCUCAGGCUGUGGCUGAUGUGAGCUUGUUUUGAGCUGUUUGACAGCUUUGGGACAGCCUUUAAAGCUCUUGGUCCCACAGCUUCUAGAGUUGUGCCUGUGGUGGGGUUUGCUCAGGUAAGGAGUUUGCUUAGGUCCUCCAAGAGAUAGGCAGAGUUAGCUCAAUCAAAUUAAAUAACCAAGUACUGUUUGAUUAACAGCUUAACCCAAGCUGCUUGUGGCUUCCCUGGCAGCCAGGGCUGAUCCAGCCUGUGCAACAGCAGGACCGGGGCUUUGCACCAUUCCUGUCCAGGGAACCAUGUGAUGGAUGGAGUUACCCUGGCACUCAACCUGCCUCCAAGAUUUUUAAAGCCUCUGCUUAAACGUGAGCUAGCGCAGCUAUAAACAGCAACCAGUGGCCCCUGGUUAACCCAGGGGCUUUGAUCAUGGAACUGGCUCAGUGUGUGAGUCAUUGGCUGCUCACAGCCUCAACUCACAUCCACUGGGGGCCAAGUUCAUCACUACUCCUGGUUUAUUGCUGCCUUGUAGUCUGGGUAAUGGAGGGGUGGGAAUAUGCUCCAUUCGACACCUCCAAAUAUGAAAAUACAUAUUUAUCUAUUAUAUGGCAAUCAAAAUGCUUGUACAUAAUUACAGCAUACAAUUCAUAAUUGAAAAUAUAAAGCAUAAAUUUCAAAUUAGGACUUAAGUGCAAAGCAAUCUGUAAUAUUGAAAGUUGAAUAACAUAAUUACAAUAAAUCUCUUGAUAAAGGGUUGGAAGCAGCUGCCUCGGGGAGGGGAGGACAUUUGACACCAACAUUGCAAAGGCAGCAAUGUCCCCAUCUGGUAUGGAUGCUGCAGUGCAUAGUCUGUCACGGGUUUGACCACUGCCUACACAGUGCUGCUGGCCCCCAGCAUUUCUUAUCUGCAUGAACACACAUCCUAUUUAUUGAGCGGAUUUCCUUUGUUUUGCAGCUCACUCUCCCUUAAGAGUGUGUUAUUGUCUUAUGAUCAGACACCGUGGUUGCAGAAUGCACAACACUCCAGGUUUAAUUGCUUUCUCCAUGUCAUUCUGAAGUGUGAGUCUCUUAAAUCAUUGUCAGGGCUGUGUUCCCUGCUGCCAGCACUGCUAAGGCUGUAUGUGGAGCACUGUGCCCAGUUUGUGAGAUAAAUGGUGACAGGCUUCAGCCCAGUGGCUGCCACCAGACAGCAGCAUGUGGUGUGUAAGGAGACACCAAAGGAGAUGGGCUUCUUCAGCCCAGAGGAGAAACAACAAAUAGUACCCCACUCUGUGUGAGAGACAGACAGUGAAUGCAGAGCCAAACCUUCUCAGAGGUGCCCAGUGAAAGGAUAAGAGCCAACAGGCACUUCUGCAACACAGGGACCUCUGAUGAGACAAGUGGAAAUCACUGCUCCAGAGCAACGGGAUGGCAGUACACAGCCCAGAGAGGUGGUCACACCUCCAUCCUUGGGAACCAAUCUUGCCUUGGCCCACACAUCCUGAGCUGACUGUGAGUGUCCCUCACACGAGGAGUGAGGAUGGGAGAGACACCUCCAGAGCACCAUUCUGCACAGAUCCAUCCAUAAUUGUAUGAUUAUAUUUCCCUGUUUGAAACUGCUGAUGGCUACUGAGGCCCCUGAUGCGGUCUGUGGUAGUUCACAGACCCAUCUCAGUGGACCAAUGCUCUCACAGGAGCAGGCAAACCCCCACACUGCUUAAAAUUAAGAGUAUGAAUGAGCAAAUAGAGAAUUAUGAGAAUGAUGAGAGGCAGACAAGACACGGAGAACUCAUAUAUCAGCGUGGCAUUUAAUGUAACAUUUAAUAUCCCGCAAGAUGUCACAUUUAAUAUCCAGCAAGAUAUCCUAGUCUAAGGUAAACACAUGCAUCCCUUAGUAAUACAGAGAUAUCUUAUUCUGCAUGAAGCAAUUAAGCCUCUCUGCAGGCUGUGCACAAGGGAAGUGGCUCACAGACCUUUGCCCACAGUGCACAGUGUGACUCUUGCACCUCUGGAGAUUCCUGCCUGCCUUAGCUCCCAUUGCAGAUCAGAUGGGCUCCUGCUGGGUACCACUGUUCCCCACAACCUGCUCAUUUGCCAUCUGCACUGCAGUAUUAAGUAAGUUGGGCUGGUUUGUUUCACUACUCACUUUGAAUGAAGUGAAUUCUACGUGAAUGAAGAUCAUAUCAGGGAUCCUGUCAACCCAUCAGCUGCUAUCAAGAGACCACUCUUAUUUUUUCCACUUGUAAAGGAGGUGUACAUAAAAUAUGCCACUCCCUGUCACAGGACUUUGUGGAUACUAAAAACUGAUGUGAGUUCAAAAAGGGACCAGAUAUAUUCACAGAAUCAAAAAUGCCUCUGUUGCCUGCAAAGACACCCCCAUCUUUCCAGGAAAUCCUUGAUCUGCAAAUCAACCUGGCUGGGAAAGUAAUCAUAGCAGAAAUCACUACAGGCUUGCCCAGCAAUUCUUUCCCUCAAGUAUCUGCCAUAGCUCUCUCUCAGGCAGGGUGAGGGGAGAGAUGGACAACACUUGACCUUAAGGUUUCACAAAAAAGCUUACUCAAUGUCACGGGUAUAUUGGAAUUUCUCCCUAGAAAUCUUCACAAAAGGCAGAAUUCUAUGGGGAGAGAGGGUCAGAUGCAGAGUAAACAGCAAGACAGCCCAACUCCUCCCUACCUGAGGGCUCCUGUGUAGAAUCACAGAAUUGUUGAGGUUGGAAAAGAUCUUUAAGAUUGUCAAGUCCAACCCUUAAGCCAGCAGUGCCAAAUCCAGCACUACACCAUGUCCCUAAGCACCACAUCUACAUGUCUUUUAAUAUCCGCUGAUAUUACACUCAGCAGGUGAAAGCCAUAUUCUCUGAUUUUGGUGGUCAGAUGAUCACAAACAAGACCAUUUGGCGUUGAAAGUACCAAGGCUGCUAGGGAGCCAAAAAAUUAACAGCACCAUUCUGGUAAUCUUGGCUAUAAGCUGAACUGGCAGUUUUUUUUGGGGUUUCCAAAUAGCUCAAAAUCACCUGUGGAGACAAGUAGUGACAGCCAUCCUGAUGCUUCCCCACCUACAUGCUUUAGUUGGGGAACCCAGGAAGCUCUGGUAACUCCAACCAUCCUGUACUGGAAGAGCUGGGACCAGCAGCAAAGGCAUAAAACUCGUGAGCAGCCCUGGCAUAAAACUCAAAGAUGCUUGCCCUGUGGCAGGUGAUAUGAAUCUCUGCUUGAUAAUACACAGGACCAUGAGAAAGCCUAAGAGUCUGUGAUUUCUGUGAUUCUCUGAGCAAAAAAACAAAUUAUCAUCCAAAAGCUGCCCUUUUGUCAACACUGGCUCCCCAGCUUCUGUGCAGCUGCCUCAGUGCCUGGACAGGGAAGGGCCCAGAUGUGGGCUAGUGGCAUUUGAGCUCCAGGGCUCACGUGACUAGAAAAAGCCUGAUAAGAGCCAGGAAUGCAAGUGGUCCUGAAAUAGGAAUAAGGGCAGCUGGGGAAAGCCUCAUAUGGAUACAUGGGCUGGGGCAGUGGGGCUUGGUAUGCAAGGAGAUGACACCUGCCCCACACACUCAGCGUUGCAUUUCACUCCCAAGGAGGCUCACAUGGGGCAAGUGACAUGUGUCUCAAAGGCACUGUGGAGACUGCCCUUGGCCUGCCCUACACAGAGCUGCAGGAGCAGGGGGGUCAUUUUCCCCAGCAGUUCCCAGAGCUUGAGCAGGCCUCCAUGGAGCUUGGAGUCAUGGAGAGUGUCCCUUCCUGCCCAGCCAUGCACACCACACAGCCCUUUGGAUUGUGUGGCAUGUGCCCCAUGUGUCAAAUGCAAAAACAUUGCUGUCACUGUCGUCUAAGAGGUCCCCAAGCCUGGCCACCACGAUAGGGCCCCAGAAGGUGCACAGCCCUCCCUGGCCUCCUUCUAGGAUGUCCCAGGACUGUGAUCAGUCACAGCCCACCCUGCUGCCCUUCCAAGUUCCCCAGCCUCAGUCUUUGCCUCCUUGGGGGAGAUUUUUGAGAUACAGCCAGCCACAGCAUUCUCAUAAUGAGUUGCUAUUCUGUUGGCCUAGUUUGGGGAGCAUCACAGGGAGAAGGAAAAGAUGUUUUUUCUAUAUUUCCGUGUCUCACAGGUCUCUGCGGUGGUGUUUAUAAUCGUCCUGUCCACAGGCAAUCUGGAAUUUGGGCUGAAGCGUCUGACCCGAAGCCAGUCCAGACAUUGCCAUCAGAGCAAGGUGUAAAUUCAGGGGCAGAUCAAAGUCAGAUUUUAGCUCCAAAGCAUGGAGCAGUGCCUGGAGGUUCCCUAUGGUUUGCCUUUCCUAUGCUGGAUGGGUUUUGCUUUUACCAGAGGUUGUGACCCAGUUUCUGUUUUCAGUGACCAGGCCUGACAGUGACCAAAGAUCCUCCAAAAGAAGCUCCUGAGCUUUCCUGAGUUCUUUUACUUGGUUGUCUGAGAUAUCCCAGCACAUGGUAAGGCAAACUCUUUUCUCGAGCAAGCUAGAGACUGCAAGAGACAGGCAUGAGCUGGCAUCCGGGAGCAGCGUGUUAGAUAAGCCCAGCACCGAGCAACGUGGCAGCCAGCCACUGUGUGCCAUGUGAGUAUUGGAGACUAUUAUUUAACCUAUAAGUAAACAUUGUCCUUAUCUUGCUCUCCCUUUCAUCUUAUGAAAAAGGAUAUUCAAACUCUCUAAUUUUUUUUUUUUUUUUUUUAGUGUUUAAUGCUUUUCAGUCUCAGCCUUGACUUGGCUUGCAGGAAAAAGCAAGUGGGUGCUCAUGCUGAGCAGUUGUAGCCAACAAAGAUGUUCUCCAUGGGCAUAUGGCCAAGUCCCCUGUGCUGGUGGUGGGUGUUCUUUGGGGUGCACAGGGCUCAUGUCUGAUUAGUUCUGCCUUAGCUCCAGGCUUCAAACAAACAUGGUGAUCAAAUGCCUUCCAGAAGGUGCCUCCAGCAAGCAGCAUUGUGGCUUCCCUGUCAUCCCUCUGGGGACUGCAAGAUUUCCUUUUCCUUGGCUGUCUGGGCUUCCUGGGAGGUCUCUGCUGAUCCACCUCAGGCACAAGCAGCUGUACCUUAAGUGCCUCUGUGCAGCCCUUUCCUCAGGCUCUCUGUCACCGCAGAGUUUAAUCUAACCCAGACUUUUCCUCUAGGCAGGCCUGGAGGAUGGCAGCAGAAACCCGAAUUUCCCUUCUUGCAAAUACAAGAGGAACAUGGGAGCCCCGGCUCUGCAGAGGCUGAAAGGCUGGCAAAGAGUCCAAUUGAGUAAAGUUCCUGUUUCAUAUCCAGUGGAGAUGCAAUGUAAACAUGCCAAAAUUUCUCUGCCAUCAAUCCUCGCCACAAACUCAAAUUUUUGGGAAACCAACUGCAAACAGUAUCCCAGUAUAUAUAUCUGCUCCUGGCCUGCUUUUCUUCCAUUCUCUUUUCCCAGUGCUGUGGUGUCCAAGAGCAAAGUGAAACAAGGGCUGAAUGAAGCAGCAGAAAGCUUCGCUACCUCCACAGAAGUGCAGGAAACCAAGUGUGGCCAAAAGACAGAAAUGAAGCAUGAAGGAAUUUCAGAUUAAAUCACCUUAACUCUGCCCAGUGCUGAGCUGAUGGGAGAAGUCCCUCUGCUUUGCCCAGUGGUAGAAUGGAGACAGUGAAACAGGGGAUCUGCAGAAGGGUCUUGAGGCUCUCCUGUGGUAGGUGGUACAGGACCAGUGGGGCCUUUCCCUGCCUGGCUUGGAGCAUCCCGUUCCCUCAUUGCAUGGGGAGCAGGAAGUCUGUGCUGGCUGCUGAUCACAUAGAGAUGGUGAGCAUGUGACUGUGCUCUUUAGCAGCUCUGGCCCUAUGUGACUGGUAUUUCUUUCCAGAACUUACUCUUUUCUUGUAUUCUAUAAUGUUCAAUGAUAAUUUUCACAUGUGAUUAAAGUAUUGAAUUGUUAGACAGUACAUUAAACAGUACAUAAAUGCCACGAAUUCCAACACCCACAGAAAUACCAUAUAUUACAAUGUUUUAAUCCAGUCCAUACUGCACUAAUGAGGCAGGUUAUUUGCCAGUAUUUUGAAGUCAGGCAGAGUGAUUGGGAAGAGCCUCUACACUUUUCAAGUUUACAUCUAGGCCUCAGAUGGAAACAAGUACCAGAUUUAUGCCGAGCAGGGUUGCUGAAGAGUGUGGUGAGCUCUGUACCUGUGCCUGUGCAGCCCUGAAGCACAAAGUAAGCACAGACCCCUACCAGACUUUCUGCUGGAAGGAUCCCAGGUCCCUCUUGGGUGGCUGAGGUCAGACACCUCUCUGUGAAGAAGUUUUUCCCUGGCAUUCUGCUGGGAUGGGGCCAGGCCUUGGCAGGUGCUUGAUUGUCUCUCAGGUACCAUCAGGAUGACAUGUUUGUGCCCUGCUGGGCUGGUAUGGCUCAGUAGCAGCUACAUAACACCAAAACCCGAGUGUCUGCACUGAGACUGAGCAUCUUCAUCCCUUCCUCCAGAGGCAGGCAGAUACACUCGAGGAAACAUCUGGCAGCUGGUUUCAUGGUAGUCCUGCAAGACCAAAGUCUCACUCCUGCUGUUUUACUUUUUGCUGCCAGGCUGGAGAUGUUUUACUAAGCCACAGGUAUUUACCAUGGCCUCUGGAAUGCCUGCUGGGCUGUGCUGUGCUGUGCUCUGCCCUGGAGGCUGCCUGGGUUUGGGGCUCUCAUUGAGGCCGGGAGGUGCUGGCAGGCUCAGACACACUGAGCUCCUGCCUGUGUAACCCCAGGGUUAUCUCUGAAAGACCAAAGAGCCUGGCAGGUUGUAUGCAAGUGCAGCUAAUAAGGGGGAAUGUUUUAUAGCCCUUGAGCUUUUCCCAAUUACUUUCUGCCUCCUUUAUUGCUUUUAUCUUCUCCCCAAAGGCCUGGGAAUGCCUUAAUUGGAGGUGGGGGCCCUGAUGGUGGGUGCAAGUUAAAUAUGUGGUUUUUUCUUCAUGAAUAAGGCAAUAUAUAUCCUGGUGUAGAAUCACAGAGUCAUAGAAUAUACUGAGUUGGAAGGCAAUGACAAAGGAUUAUCCUUGCCCUGCACAGGACAGCCCCAAGAAUCACACCCUGUGUCUGAGAGUGUUGUCCAAAUGCUUCCUGAACUCCAUCAGGCUUGGUGCUGUAACCACUUCCCUGGGGAGCCUUUUCCAGUGCCCAGCCACCGUGUGGGUGAAGAACCUUUUCCUGAUAUCCAACCUAAACCUCCCCUGUUCCCUCAGAAAAGCAAGUGGUCCCCUGGAAAGCAGAGCCAGCAACCCAUGGCCUUGAUGCUCCAUGUCUUUGAUAGCACUGCAGAGAUGGGGUGAGGUCCUGCCGGGAGGUCUGCUGCCUCUGCUGGGCUUGAGCUUCCUGGAACCAGGAUAUUUUGGAGACCCUGUGCUUGCAUCUAAUUCUGGCUUAUGGCUGGCUGUUGAGCUGUGGGUUCAAAAGGUUUUGAGAAAGGGACUCAGGCUGAGUGGCCAGUAUCAAACAAUCCUUGCUUGUAGCAAAAGGGGUUAAAUCAGAGUGAGCUGGGCAGAAUGGAAUAUGGUGCCACUCUGAAAGGAGAAAAUGAGCGCAGUGCUUUAUGUAUUUUAGUGGCACAGUCCCUGCAAGGAACAACCAAAUGUUCAAUGCUGACACUCCUACAUU